rnacentral:lncRNA from 1 species
AUGUCGGCGGUUCUCGGACGGAUGACGACGACGAUGAUGAUGAUGGUCUGGGUUUGGAUCAGUCUGCUGACUCUAGCCCGGUUCAACACGGCACAGGACCAGCACCGGGACGCCGAGCUCACGGCGCUGCUGGAGGAGACCGGGAGCGGCGGAAGACUUUCUCCGGUGCCGGUGUGGAAGUUCCUGAACGAGCGCCGUGACGGUGGUGAGGCGUCAGAUUUCGGCCGGGCGCAGUAUCUCUGCAGCGGCAGCUCGCUGUCUGUUCGCUUCUCGCUCAUUCGACACACUGAUCUGCGCCUGGCAGGUGAGUUUGAUUCGUCCACCAGCUGCAGAGAUUUUACACACUUGGAUUGCCAGAAUGAAAUAUAGAAGUUUAGUUUACUGACUGAUUCAGUCUCAUUAUAUAAUGUCACACCAGGAGCAUCAGCAAGCUUUAGCUCAAACUAUAAAACGUUAAAAAGGUUCAAAUGAAACCUAUUAAACUCUUUACACCGGCACACUGCAGUGGGGGGCGGAGCUACAGAAAUCUUCAUGUGCUUUAAUCAGUCACAUUUAAUGUUUACUGAAGCUGCCAAAUUAAGAUUAGCGCAUGGUGUUGAUUCAUGUUUCUAAUAAAUUUUCCCCACUCAGCGACACACCCGCUGAGGAACCAACUCUGGUUAUUGGCAGCUCCAUAGUCAGAAACGUGAAGUUAGCGAAGCCAGCGGCCAUAGUUUAAUGUAUCCCUGGGGCCAGAGCGGGCGACAUUGAAUCAUAUUUAAAACUGCUGGCUAAAGAUAAACAUAAAUACAGUAAGAUUGUUAUCCACGUCGGCGGUAACGACACCCGUUUACACCAAUCGGAGGUCACUAAGAUUAAUGUGGAGUCGGUGUGUAAUUAUGCUAAGACAAUGUCGGACUCCGUAGUUUUCUCUGGACCCCUGCCCAAUGUGACCAGUGAUGACAUGUAUAGCCGCAUGUCGUCAUUCCACCGCUGGCUGUCGAGGUGGUGUCCAGCAAACGAUGUGGGCUUCAUUGAUAACUGGAAGCCUUUUUGGGGAAAACCUGGUCUGAUUAGGAGAGACGGCAUCCAUCCCACUUUGGAUGGAGCGGCUCUCUUAUCUAGAAAUAUGGCGAAGUUUAUCUCUAAAACCUGACAGUCCAGAUUUAGGACCAGGAAGCAGAGCUGCUGUCUUACACACUUCUCUGCUCUUUCUUUAGAACAGUCACCCACCCAAAACCCCAUAGAGACUGUGUCUGUCCCCCGACCACCAAAAUUAUUUAAAGAAAUAAAAACAAGAGGAGUUCAACAUAAAAACCUAAUAAAAAUUAAAACCAACUCCU